rnacentral:rRNA from 1 species
AGCGAACGCUGGCGGCAGGCUUAACACAUGCAAGUCGAACGCAUCCUUCGGGAUGAGUGGCAGACGGGUGAGUAACACGUGGGAACGUGCCCUCCGGUCUGGGAUAACCCUGGGAAACUAGGGCUAAUACCGGAUACGUGCUUUGGCAGAAAGGUUUACUGCCGGAGGAUCGGCCCGCGUCUGAUUAGCUAGUUGGUGGGGUAACGGCCUACCAAGGCGACGAUCAGUAGCUGGUCUGAGAGGAUGAUCAGCCACACUGGGACUGAGACACGGCCCAGACUCCUACGGGAGGCAGCAGUGGGGAAUAUUGGACAAUGGGCGCAAGCCUGAUCCAGCCAUGCCGCGUGAGUGAUGACGGCCUUAGGGUUGUAAAGCUCUUUUCUCCGGGACGAUAAUGACGGUACCGGAGGAAUAAGCCCCGGCUAACUUCGUGCCAGCCGCCGCCGUAACAC